CCUGGGGCGCAGGUGAGGUUUGGACAACCUGAGAUGGAACAGGAGCCGGCCAGGCAGAUCCAGGAAGGAGCAUAGUUAAGGGCAAAUGAGGUUGGCGGGGAUGGUUAGGCCACAGGCACAUAAUCUUCGUUCUUUCUAGAGUGCUUGGAGCGCUUUCCCCUGGCAGGGGUGGCCUGGGAGGAGGGGAGAAGGGAGGAGAAGGGCAGGCGCCUCCAGGGGCCCCUCAGGCUGGCUCAGUUGCCCAGAGGAAAGCAGGGCGUGCUCCCAUAGCCUUACAGGAGCCUGGAGCUGCCGCAGGGGUUGGGAGCUGCAGCUCCAGGACUCCUGCCAAAUUUCUGGGACCUGCAGGGGGCUGAGUCCCGGCCUUUGAAGACUGGUGCCCUGGAAAAACGGCUCCUGUGCAGGCUGCCUCCCAGCUCUGUCCUCCCACACUUCGUCCUCCCACAGGUUUGCUCUUUUCUGCUUCCUGCCUUCAUUUCCUGAAUGACAUCCUUUUGAGCAUGUAUGAUGACAAGCAGGGCUGGACCCUGGGUCUGCAGCAGUGAACCGGCCCAGUCACCUGCCCUCAGGGGUCUUGCAGGAGGGCCUCCGCAUCCUCUCCCGCACUGCAGACCAGCAAGCCCCUCCCCUGCUGUGGCCUUUCCAGUAACGGCUGCUGGGAGAGAAAGUGCCAGUCGGAGAGUGAGUGUGCAGCCAGAGUCAAAAAUCAAAAAGAAAAAUCAAAAGAACAUCGGCAUUGGAGGCACAUGCAAUAAAGGAGUCCAGGUGGUAGUUGGAGGUUGGAGGCUGGAAGGAACACACAGGUCUCAAAGGAAGUGGCUGAGGGAUCUGCAGAGACUCAUCUGAGCCUGUGGCUGAUGACAGGGUGUUGGGGCAGCCACGGCCGAGAGGGCCGUGCUCGGAGCCACACAGCUUUCAGUGCUCACGAGAAGGGACUGGCCCUCCCCAGGGCUGACCAAGUUCCUCAGUACUGCAUCCAGCUGUGCUCCUGGCCUCAUUUCUUCUCUCCUUCAUGAAUUAACUCCCAGACACAGCAGCCCCUGGAGGUGGUGGGGACUAACCAGGGACGGGAAAGGGUCAGUCAGCCUGUGGUCAGCAGGGUGGGCGGGUGCAGGCCUGGUGUUCCCAGGAUACUUUGCUGGGUCAUGCAGUUAUCCCCAUCACGUAUCACUCCAGCUCCCUGGCGGGCACAGCCUGUGGCUGUUCCUGGAGGCACCCCUGGAAUGAGUACAGUUCAUGGACAGGCUUCAAAACAGCCCAGAGCAAAGAUUUGGGUCUGAGGGCGGGGGCAUGGCUCUGCGGUCUUCGCCUCCACGGUUCCCUGACUUGGUCCUGCAGUUGCCCAGGAGAGGCAAGGCCACCUCCUUGUUAAGGGCUUGCUUGUUCCUGGUGGUCUCUGUCAGGAGCCCCCACCCCGCUGGCCCCAGACUCCAACACCUGUCCAGGUGUGUGAGCCAGUGUACAUCUGGCAGCAGAGAGGCCUGUACGAGCACAGCCCACAGGCCCCAGUGACGUUUGUCAAGUGUUUAUUCUAUCAACAUUCUUCAUUUCUGGCCUGAUUUCAAUCCUAGGAGGUGGGUACAAUAAGUCCAAUUCUAAAAAUAAUAAAAUGGAACAGAGACCUGAGGAGUUGGCUUCAUGAUGGGGGAUCAAUGUCCCAAUUUUAGCACCAAAGUCCUGCGACCUGGGAAGCCCUCGGUGCUGGGCAAACCAGGAUGGUUGUUGCCCUGAUUCAGGAUCACCCAGGUAAUAGGUAGAGGGCUGAAUUCAAGCCCGGCUCAGCCGCAUGGAGCCUCGGCCUGCACUCUGCACUGCUUCUGAGCGGUGCUGGGAGCAGCGCUGUCCAAGGAGCCCGGGUCAUAAAACCCAGCUGGUGAAUAGGAACCAUGUUUGUAUGUUCUAGAAGAUGAAAGAAUAGAAUUGAAUUGAAUAAUAAAGAUCAGAGUACAUUAUGCA
rnacentral:lncRNA from 1 species